CCUACGUGCGGCAGCAGUAGGGAAUAUUGCUCAAUGGGGGAAACCCUGAAGCAGCAACGCCGCGUGGAGGAUGAAGGUUUUAGGAUUGUAAAAUCCUUUUGUUAGAGAAGAUAAUGACGGUAUCUAACGAAUAAGCACCGGCUAACUCCGUGCCAGCAGCCGCGGUAAUACGGAGGGUGCAAGCGUUACUCGGAAUGGCUGGGCGUAAAGAGCGCGUAGGCGGGAUAGUAAGUCAGAUGUGAAAUCCUAUGGCUUAACCUGAGGACUGCAUUUGAAACUGUUUUUCUGGAGUAUGGGAGAGGUAGAUGGAAUUCUUGGUGUAGCGGUGAAAUCCGUAGAGAUCAGGAGGAAUACUCGUUGCGAAGGCGACCUGCUGGAACGCAACUGACGCUGAGGCGCGAAAGCGUGGGGAGCAAACAGGAUUAGAUACCCCUGUAGUC
rnacentral:rRNA from 1 species